rfam:Schistosoma mansoni strain Puerto Rico chromosome 4, complete genome
AUCCAGCUAACAAGUCCGGAAUAGGACGAAACGCGCGUCUUGAAU